ACGCUUGGACCUGGAAGAACCUCCCAGUCCAUACGGGUCAUGAAAAGACAAAAAGAGGGCACUGACCCUCAAAAAACAGGAUGGGAGGAGAAAAGAACCAGCUGUGGCCCGUACUGUCUAAUUCCUUAAUCAGGCAGGAAUGAUCCCGGCUCCCCUCCCAGGACAGGUGAAUACAACUGCAAUAGAGCUCACAGUGUUUGAAGAUGCCAAAAACCUGCCAAAUGAAACCUUAAGUCAAUAGUGACAAAUUUUAAAGAAAGCAUGUGCUUCGCCCUGAAACCGCCUGCGGGGUUAUUCAGCGCAUGGUUGAUCGGCAGGUGAUUUCCCUGCUCACGGUGUGCCUGCAUGACCCGAAUAAAAUUCCUUGGCUUUAAGUUGGAGUGUUUCAAUAUUUUACACA
rnacentral:lncRNA from 1 species